rnacentral:lncRNA from 1 species
UCUGUGUCCUAUGCCGUCAUCACUCACCAUUGCCCUUCUCUUUGCAUUUCUUGAUCGGUCGCUUCCUAUCGCUUUCAUGCGGAAGGUUCCCCCUACCGGCCUGAAAGAAAGAAUGGUUUUUAGAUAGAGCGUUGGCUAUGGCGCCAUUUGCGAAGGAAUGGGUUUAUGCGCUUUCUUUACUACUAUGCUAUUUCUCCCGUCUCGGACGUGAUUCGUAUUUGAUGCUCUUAUCGGAUUGGGUGCUUGAUUCCUUAGCUGAGCUAAUGAUUUAGAUGCGGAAUCUGAGCUAAUGGCUCACUUCACUACCUUAAGCGGAGCUAACUACAGGCCAAAAUAUACUGCAAUCACCCAGACCUUUCUAAUACUGAAAACCUGUAUACGAAAUUUCUUCAGUUGCUUACUCGGCCUAAGCAAGCCUGACCGAACACCCGAAAGAAGUUCUUUCUCCAUCGAACGGGAAUGGACGAAGAACGAGGAGGCAUUCUUCAUAGAGAAGAGCCCUGAGAAAUUUCACGAUAACUGAAGAGGGAAUGCGGCUCUUGAUUCCUUAGCUAAGCUAAUGAUUUAGAUGCGGAAUCUGAGCUAAUGGCUCACUUCACUACCUUAAGCGGAGCUAACUACAGGCCAAAAUAUACUGCAAUCACCCAGACCUUUCUAAUACUGAAAACCUGUAUACGAAAUUUCUUCAGUUGCUUACUCGGCCUAAGCAAGCCUGACCGAACACCCGAAAGAAGUUCUUUCUCCAUCGAACGGGAAUGGACGAAGAACGAGGAGGCAUUCUUCAUAGAGAAGAGCCCUGAGAAAUUUCACGAUAACUGAAGAGGGA